rnacentral:rRNA from 1 species
AUGAACGCUGGCGGCGUGCCUAAUACCUGCCAGUCGAGCGAACAGACGAGGAGCUUGCUCCUCUGACGUUAGCGGCGGACGGGUGAGUAACCCGUGGAUAACCUACCUAUAAGACUGGGAUAACUUCGGGAAACCGGAGCUAAUACCGGAUAAUAUAUUUAACCGCAUGGUUCAAUAGUGAAAGACGGUUUUGCUGUCACUUAUAGAUGGAUCCGCGCCGCAUUAGCUAGUUGGUAAGGUAACGGCUUACCAAGGCGACGAUGCGUAGCCGACCUGAGAGGGUGAUCGGCCACACGGGAACUGAGACACGGUCCAGACUCCUACGGGAGGCAGCAGUAGGGAAUCUUCCGCAAUGGGCGAAAGCCUGACGGAGCAACGCCGCGUGAGUGAUGAAGGUCUUCGGAUCGUAAAACUCUGUUAUUAGGGAAGAACAAAUGUGUAAGUAACUAUGCACGUCUUGACGGUACCUAAUCAGAAAGCCACGGCUAACUACGUG